AUGCUCACUCACUUCAGCAGCUCAUAGACUAAAAUUGGAAUGAUGCAGAGAAGAUUAGCAUGACCGCUGCAUGAUUGUGGCAUACAAAUUCUCAAGUGUUCCAUAUUUUU
ensembl:snRNA U6 U6 spliceosomal RNA